rnacentral:rRNA from 1 species
UUAUGGCUCAGGAUGAACGCUGGCGGCGUAGCCUAACACAUGCAAGUCGAGCGAGAAACUCAUGACCAAUACUUCGGUAGCGUGAUUGAGCGGAAAGCGGCGGACGGGUGAGUAACGCGUAGGCAACCUGGCCCCUUGCAGAGGGAUAGCCUCGGGAAACCGGGAUUAAAACCUCAUAAUGCGUAACGGAGACAUCUCCGAUACGCCAAAGAUUUAUCGGCAAGGGAUGGGCCUGCGUCUGAUUAGUUAGUUGGUGGGGUAACGGCCUACCAAGGCAGCGAUCAGUAGCCGACCUGAGAGGGUGAUCGGCCACAUUGGAACUGAGACACGGUCCAAACUCCUACGGGAGGCAGCAGUGGGGAAUAUUGCACAAUGGGCGAAAGGCCCUGAUGCAGCAACGCCGCGUGAAGGAUGAAGGCCCUUGGGUCGUAAACUUCUGUUCUAAGGGAAGAUAAUGACGGUACCUUAGGAGCAAGUCCCGGCUAACUACGUGCCAGCAGCGGC